rnacentral:rRNA from 1 species
AGAUUAAUGCCUCAUAGUAUUGUAGACUGGCAUCAGUUUAUAAUUAAAGAUUUAUCGGUAAAAGAUGGCUAUGCGUCCUAUUAGUUAGUUGGUAAGGUAACGGCUUACCAAGACAGCGAUAGGUAGGGGUCCUGAGAGGGAGAUCCCCCACACUGGUACUGAGACACGGACCAGACUCCUACGGGAGGCAGCAGUGAGGAAUAUUGGACAAUGGAGGAGACUCUGAUCCAGCCAUGCCGCGUGUAGGAAGAAUGCCCUAUGGGUUGUAAACUACUUUUAUACAGGAAGAAACACUGGUA